CUUUAUCCUGCCUUGACAAGGAUGCUUUGUCGACAGCUCUAUCUAAAUCCUGGACCACAGCCACAAACCCAAACAAUAUUCUUUGUUCUAGACCUGAGGAAAUGGUGUCAACGACUCUAGAACCUUGCUGGAUUGUUAAAUGCAGGGGACGGCAACUGGAUUUUGGACAUGGCGUACUGAGGAAGGGUUUAAAUUAUAGUGGAAGUAAUUAGAUUAUGUCCAUACUUAGUAAACAUUCGCUACAUGCUGUCAUCAACUUUUGUUAAUAUACUGGAUCGUGGAAUGUUAGAGAUGGAAGCCGAAUUUGUUUUGAAGAAGGAAGAAUGCUGAUGAGGAGCUGGGAGAUAAAGACCUUCAGCAAUGAGAAUGUCCACGGAAUACUUCCAAAAGAGAGGAAAAUGAGAGGUACUUGGGUUGGCGUUAUAUACAGUGGUUAAAAAUCUUACAGCCUACUGAGGAAGAGUUUAAAUUAUAGUGGAAGUAAUUAGAUUAUGUCCAUACUUAAUAAACUUUCUUUACAUGUUGUUAUCAACGACGCUUACCAUUCUGGAUCGUGGAAUGUUAGAGAUGGAAGCCGAAUUUGUGAGAAGAUUUGAUUCUAUGAAGAAAGCUGAUGGCUGGGUGGGAGAUAAAGACCUUCAGGAAUUAGAAUAUCCACGGAAUACUUCCAAAAGAGAGGAAAAUGACAGGUACUUGGGAAGGCAUUAUUUACUGUGGUUAAAAAUCCUAUCGACUUCUGGGAAGAGUUCGACUCCGUAACCUUGUUGGAUCGAGGAAUGAUGAUUUUUCUAGGUAUUUUGAUGGUGAAGUAAGAACGUCAAUGAGAGGAUAUGAGGGUGAUAGGUUUGUAUAUUUUACGAAUGAGAAUGUACCCUGAAUACUUCCAAAAGAGAGGAAAAUGAGAGGUACUUGGGAUGACAUAUACUGUGGUUAAAGAUUCUAUCGCAUUCUGGGAAGAGUUCGACUUCUUAACCUUGUUGGAUCGAGGAAUAAUGGGUAUUUUGACGGUGAAGUAAGAACGUCAAUGAGAGGAUAUGAGGGUGAUAAGUUUGUAUAUUUUACGAAUGAGAAUGACUACGGAUUACUUCCAGAGAAAAGUAAAUGUUGCUUGAAAUGGCAUUGUGUAUUAUGAUUAAAACUACCGCAUUCAGAGGAUGGAUUCGAUGUACAGUGGAGGUAGUUAGGUCAUAUCCAGGAGGAAUUGGUAUACCAAGGUUAUGCACUGCUUUCCAAAUGCGAGUCAUUUUUUCAUAUUUUCUGGAAUCGCAUAAAUAUUGUUUUCAAGUGAAGAGUAUAGAUCUUAAUUUGAA
rnacentral:lncRNA from 1 species